rnacentral:rRNA from 1 species
GACGAACGCUGGCGGCGUGCUUAACACAUGCAAGUCGAACGGAAAGGCCCUGCUUUUGUGGGGUGCUCGAGUGGCGAACGGGUGAGAAACACGUGAGUAACCUGCCCUUGACUUUGGGAUAACUUCAGGAAACUGGGGCUAAUACCGGAUAGGAGCUCCUGCUGCGUGGUGGGGGUUGGAAAGUUUCGGCGGUUGGGGAUGGACUCGCGGCUUAUCAGCUUGUUGGUGGGGUAGUGGCUUACCAGGGCUUUGACGGGUAGCCGGCCUGGGAGGGUGACCGGCCACAUUGGGACUGAGGUACGGCCCAGACUGCUACGGGAGGCAGCAGUGGGGAAUAUUGCACAAUGGGCGGAGGCCUGAUGCAGCAACGCCGCGUGCGGGAUGACGGCCUUCGGGUUGUAAACCGCUUUCGCCUGUGACGAAGCGUGAGUGACGGUAAUGGGUAAAGAAGCACCGGCUAACUACGUG